CAUAAAACUAUUUAUCGCCUUCUUUUUCAGGAACCGUUUCAGCAGUAAAGGCACUAAAACCGUUUCAGUCAUGGCGCACGUCUCCUGGCUGCUAUCCCUCGCCCCCACAAUGCAUGCCUUUACCAAGCCACGACCGCAUGGCAUUCUCUGGCCUUAUACAGAGAAAGGCCGCAAACAAGAGGGGGGCAAAGAAAAAAGGACGCAAACGCCAGAAGAGAAGAUCAAGGGACAGAGGACGGAAAAAACAGAGAACUUAGACCGGAAAACCAGAGGAGGAGGAAGACAGAGAGAACUGGGGAGAGCAUAAGACCGAGAACAAAACACACACAGACGCGAAGGGACAAACACAGGGGAGAAAAACCAGAAAACACAGAGGAACAUAAAACAGAGGGAGACAGGGAAUCAAGGAGAACAGACAGACGAACCACACCAGCAACAAAAUCAAAAGAAAGCCAGAGAACAAGAAAGAAAAGACUAGAGGAAGGGAAAGCAGGAAGAGGCUAGUCGAUCAGCAACCGCACGGCUUCGCCUCUAGCCUCCAGGUAAGUUCUUCCUCUUCCCCACUUAGCAAAAUCAUUUCAUUUGUUACUGUGCAAAGGUAAGAUAAUUAUUUUGUUACUGUUGCAAGUUAUUCAUCCGCGUAACAGUGCGCAGCCGGGUCACUGGCUUGUAACAGUCAUCAGGCUGGGCCGGCUGAAUCCAGCCUAACUCAUACAAACUGAACUGGAUCCAUCUAAAAAGGAACAAACAGAUAAACAGCUAGGCCUGGGCUCUCGCCCAACCCUUUUUAUUUUAGUUUUAUUUUUAUUUUAAUUUUCGGCCAAACGAGUUUUAUUUUAAUAUCAAAAAAUUCUAAAAAAAUUUAUGAAUUCUUUUGAAUUUAUUUAUAAAUCCCUCGUAUUUUUUUAUGAUAUUUUACUGUAUAUUUCAUUUGUGAAUUUUACUGCAACGGUAUCCAUUCUAUGCCCACAAAAACAUCAAAUGUCAUGUGGGAGACUUGUAGUUUUGAAUGGUCAGCAACAGAUUCUUUGGUCAUCAAAUGCUUCAGCUGGAGUUAAAGACUCAAGUGCACAGCUUACGGAUGAUGGAAACCUUGUCUUGCUCGGUAAAAACAAUGGAAAUGUCAUAUGGGAGAGUUUUCAGCGGCCUUGUAAUACACUCUUGCCAAAUAUGAGACUUGGUGCUAAUGCAAGAACUGGCGAGUCGACAGUACUAACAUCAUGGAUAAGCCCUUCUGAUCCAUCCGUCGGACGCUUCUCUGUUUCCAUGGAUCCCUUAAUAAUUCCCUAAGUAUUUGUGUGGAACUAUAAGACUCCAUAUUGGUGGAGUGGUCCAUGGAAUGGUCAGAUCUUUAUUGGGAUUCCUGAGAUGAACUCUGUUUAUCUGGAUGGAUUUAAUCUUGCAAAAACUGCAGAUGGAGCCGUGUCUCUAAGUUUCACUUAUGUAAAUCAGCCUAAUAGCUAUUUUGUUUUGCGUUCCGAUGGAAAAUUGAUAGAAAGAGCCUGGAAAGUGGGAACCAGGAUUGGAAUAAAUUAUGGAAAGUGUGGAGCAUUUGGAAGCUGUAAUGCUGUGAAUUCACCAAUCUGCAGCUGUUUGAGAGGGUUUGUCUCAAAAAAUCCAGAUGAAUGGAAUAAAGGAAACUGGACAAGUGGUUGCAUUAGGAGGACACCACUAGAAUGCACAGAAACACAAAAUAUAUGAGAAGUGAACCCAAAAGAUGGGUUCUUGAAGCUUGAGAUGAUCAAAGUACCAGACUUUGCAGAGUGGUCAUCUCUGUAUUCAGAACUAGAAUGCAGAAAUGAAUGCUUAAGUAAUUGUUCCUGUAUAGCUUAUUCAUAUUACAAGGGUAUUGGCUGCAUGUUGUGGACCAGAAGCUUAAUUGAUAUACAGAAGUUUUCCUAUGGUGGGGCAGAUCGUUACCUUCGCUUAGCAUAUUCAGAACUUGAUAAAAGGAAAAGCAUGAAGAUAGUUAUCAGAAUAACAGUGAUUUUCGAACAAUUGCCUUUUCAAUCUGUGCAUUUCUUUCAUGGAGGUGCAUGGUUAAACAUGGAGGGAAAACCUUUUCAGUACUAGUUUGUUUUGGAUAUUUAGAGUUUUGCAAUUUCAAUGAUGCUUACUCUCUGAUUCUUAAUCAGAAAGGAAGAGGAAGAGCAAAAGGAACAGUGGGGGCAAAGUUAAACUCCGGGAAUUACCAGCUGUAUUCAGUUUACAUCCAUAGUAGCAGUCUAUAUUAUUAAAGAUACAAAAAAGUUACAAUACACAUACAUAUAUAUGAACACAUAUAUGAAGGAGGAUUACAUUUAUUCAACUUAACUCCCAUUAUCCCUUGCUGCACAAGGCAGCCAGGCUACUGCACUUGACAGCCCUUCUCUCUCUCUCUUCUCACAUAUUUCUCUCAAUUCUGCUUAUAAAUGGUGCUUUUAUUUAUAGGUUUUAAUAGCAGCUCCUCCUGUUCUUUUAUCAAUAAUAGUGGCCAUUUUUUAUCAA